rnacentral:rRNA from 1 species
AUUGAACGCUGGCGGUAUGCUUAACACAUGCAAGUCGAACGGCAGCACGGUAGAGCUUGCUCUAUGGGUGGCGAGUGGCGGACGGGUGAGUAAUGCAUCGGGACCUACCCAGACGUGGGGGAUAACGUAGGGAAACUUACGCUAAUACCGCAUACGUCCUAAGGGAGAAAGCGGGGGAUCGCAAGACCUCGCGCGGUUGGAUGGACCGAUGUGCGAUUAGCUAGUUGGUAAGGUAAUGGCUUACCAAGGCGACGAUCGCUAGCUGGUCUGAGAGGAUGAUCAGCCACACUGGGACUGAGACACGGCCCAGACUCCUACGGGAGGCAGCAGUGGGGAAUAUUGGACAAUGGGCGCAAGCCUGAUCCAGCAAUACCGCGUGUGUGAAGAAGGCCCUCGGGUUGUAAAGCACUUUUAUCAGGAACGAAAUCUGCAAGGUUAAUACCCGUGCAGUCUGACGGUACCUGAGGAAUAAGCACCGGCUAACUCCGUGCCAGCCGCCGCAGUAA